rnacentral:lncRNA from 1 species
GCCUAUCCCAGCAACAAUUUCUUGCUACUUCUAAUAUAAUGAGAUGACUCUAGCCCUGGAAAGAAUCCAAAUCAUAUGGAGCUUGACUCUGGAGAAAGUGUUAACAACAGGGUCAUACAAGAGGGAAGAUCAUCUUGGGUCCCUUGAACCGAUCUCCAAGGGGAUCAGUCUCAGUUCUCUGACCAGAGAGAGAGAGAGAGAAUACAUUAACGGUGAUGAAUACUUCCCUUUAUCUCCUCUUAUCACCUCGUUGAACAAGUCAUGUGUCAAAGGAUAUUAAUUUCUGCGAUGACAUUAGGACAUGUCAAUGGACACAAGAGGAUGAAGGGAAACUCUCUUUAUCCGAGAGGAAGCUGUGGGCAUUGCUAUUUCCCUGGCUGGAAAGUGUGCAGUUAAUGACAGGUUGGGUCUAAGACAACAAAUGCAGUAAAAAAUGCCUUAUGUGCCCAAAGGAAAUUUAUAGGGAAAUGUGUUAAUGUACUAAUGAGAUUCAUCUGUAGUUGACAUAUCAAAGAUAAAUGUCAACUUAUCUAUUUGUUAAUGGAUCUAUUAAAAGCUAUGUUUGU